rnacentral:lncRNA from 1 species
AGAGCAAAUGUUUAUGUCCAGAGCAAAAUUCUGUUGUCAGAAAUGGGGCUUUGUAUGAUGAUGGAUGUGUUCACUUAUCCAUUCACUCCACAAAUAUUAAUUUUCUGGUAUAUUUAUAUAAUGGAGUACUAUACAACAGCAAAAAAUAAAUUAAGUACAGGCUGGGCACAGUGGCUGAUGCCUGUAAUCUCAGCACUUUAGGAGGCCAAGGCAGGAGGAUUGUUUGAGCUUAGAAGUUUGAAACCAGCCUGGGCAACAUAGCAAGACCACAUCUCUACUAAAAAUUAAAAAAAAAAAAAAAUGCCAAGCAUGGUGGUGUGUGCCGAUAGUCCCAGCUACUUAGCCUGGGGUGGGAGGAUUGCUUGAGUCCAGGAGUUUGAGGCUGCAGUAAGCUAUGACUGCAUCACUGAAUGCCAGCCUGUGCAACAGAGUGAGACACUGUCUAAAAAAAGUAAAUAUAUAAAAAUAAAUAAACUACAGUUGCUUGUAUCAACAUGGAUGUAUCUCAAAGUCAUAAUGUUGAAUGAAAAAAGUAAGUCACAAAAAUAUAGAGCAAUGUAUGAUUCUAGGAGUAUACAGUAGAAAAAAAAAGCAAAAUUAAACAACAUGUUGUGUAGAAAUGCAUACAAUUGUGAAAUACUCUUCAAAAAACGCAAAAAAUGAUUGAUAUAAAGUUCAGUAUGCAGGUACCUCUUGGAGGAGGACAGGGCUGUGCUCAGGGGAGAACACACAUGGGCUUCUAAGAUGCUGGUAAAGGUCUGUUUCUUAAGCUGGUUGGUGAAUACACAUGUGCUUAUUUUAUUACCCUUAAAUCUACAUAUAUACACUUCAUGCAGUCUUUUGAAUGUAGGACAUGGCCAUGGUAAUAAAAAGAAAAACAAAGAAUAGAUGAGCAUUUAAAUUGAGAGGGCACACCAAGUCUUAAGCCAAAGAGUUAUAAGUAAAUCCACACAGACGCAGCGGAGUACAAUAGCAGAACAUCAAAAGCAUAGAGAAAAUCUUCCACACCGCUAGAAAGAUAGUAAUCUAAAAACCAAUAAUACUGGGCCGGGUGCGGUGGCUCACGCCUAUAAUCCCAGCACUUUGGGAGCCCAAGGCAGGUGGAUCACCUGAGGUCAGGAGUUCGAGACCAGCUUGACCAACAUGGUGAAACCCCGAUUCUGCUAAAAAUACAAAAUCAGCUGGGUGUGGUGGUGCAUGCCUGUAAUCCCAGCUACCCUGGAGGCUGAGGCAGGAGAAUCGCUUGAACCCAGGAGGUGGCGGUUGCAGUGAGCCGAGAUCACAGCAUUGCACUCCAGCUUGGGCAACAAGAGCGAAACUCCAUCUCAAAACAAAACAAACGAACAAACAAAAACCAAUAAUACUUCAACUUACAGCAGACUUACCUGCAAUAAUAGAUGCCUUCAGUGACCUAAAUGGUAUCUUCAAACUGCUGAGAGAAAAUAACCACAAACCAGAAUUCCUUACCUGUGAAUUCUACCCAAGGUAUAAGGUGUAAUAAAAACAUCUUUAGACGUAGACACCAAGAGAGGUCACCCCUCACAAAACCUCACUGGAAGAACUACUGAUGGAAGUUUCUUUUUUUUUUUUUUUUUUGAGGCAGAGUCUCACUCUGUCGCCCAGGCUGGAGUGCAGUGGCAUGAUCUCAGCUCACUACAAUCUCUGCCUCCCAAGCUCAAGCCAUCCUCCCACCUUAGCCUCCUGAGUAGCUGGGACUACAGGUGUGUGCUACCACACUCAACUAAUUCCUGUAUUUUUUUUUUAGAGGUGGGGUUUCACCAUGUUGCCCAGGCUGGUCUCAAACUCCUGGGCUCAAGUGAUCUGCCUGCCUUGGCCUUCCAAAAUGCUGGGAUCACAGGCAGUUAGUGAACUGUUGAAACAGUGGUACAAGAAAUUGAUCAUGAAGAGUCUUGAAAGCCGUAGAAGGAUAUUGCGUUUUAUUUUCAGUGCAAUGAGAGUUCUUAGCAAGCAAGUCAAAGACAUGAUCUGUCUUUCUUUAUUUUUAUUUUUAUUUUUGAGAUAAGGUUUGGCUCUGCCACCCAGGCUGGAGUGCAGUGGUGCUAUCACAGCUCAUUGCAGCUUUGUUCUCCCAGGCUCAAGCAACCUUCCCACCUUAGUCUCCCAAGUAGCUGGGACUAUAGGUGUGUGCCGCCACCACACCCAGCUAGGUUUUUAAAAAUUUUUUUGUAGAGAUGAGGUCUUGCUAUGUUGCCCAGGCUGGUCUUGAACUCCUGAGCUCAAGCGACCCUCCUGCGUCAGCCUCUCAAAGUGCUAGGAUUGCAGGCAUGAGCCACCAGAUCUGUCUUUAAAAAGACCAUUCUGGCUUCUGUGUGCAGAAUGCAUUAUAGAGAGUUAUUGGGAAGCAAGAAGGAAGUAGAAAAGCUACUUGGUGGUCAGUACAGUUACUCUAGUGAGAGAAGAGUAUGGCUUGUCCUAGGGAAGUUGUAGUAGACAUACAGAGACAUGACCCAGUUGGAAAUAUGACCUGGUAGUUGAGUCAAUAGGAUUUGUUGAUUUACUGGAUACAGAGUCCACAAAAGGGAAGAAUCAAGACUGAGUCUUACCUUAGGGGCUUAAGCAACUAGGUAGAUAUUAGUGUGCUUCACUGAGGUGGGAGUGACUGAGGAGCUGCAGAUUAGGUGGGCAGUGGGAGGUGGUUUGCAAAUCAACAACUCUGUUUAGGUUUGAGAUGACUGUGAACUAUAAAAGAAUUAUCAAGUAGGUAGUUAGAUGUUCCGUGUGGAGGUUAGUGCAGAUUUCCAGGUUGGAGAUACAAAUUUGAGAGUUAUCAAGAUAUAGAUUGGAUGAUCUCACCCAAGAUAUAGACUGGAUAAGCUCACCCAAGGAUUGAGUGUAGAUAAAAAAGUCUAGAGUGGAAGUUAGAGUUGCUUGCGUUACCACAUAAAAAUAGAAGACACUCGGUUGAAUUUGAACUUCAGAUAAACAAUAAAUUUUUUUAGAAUGAGUAUGUUCCAUGCAAUAUUUGGGACAUGCUUAUACUAAAAAAUUUUUGUUGUUUAUGUGAAAGUCAGGUUUAGUUGGGCAUCCUGUAAUUUAUUUGGUAACCCUAACUGAGACACUCCUAUAUUUAGAUGACAAGUAGGGAAGGAUGAGAAGCAAAGGAAAUGCUGAGUGUGGCUGUGUACCAAAUUUCCCCAGAAUGUGGUGCCAUAAAACAGUCUUUAAUUAUGCCUGCAGAUUCUGUAGUUCAGGAAUUUAGAUAGGGAUUCGUGGUCCUGACUUGCUCUGCUCCAUGAUGUCUGGGGCCUCAGCUAGAAGACUCAAGGGCUGGGAGUUGAAAUCAUCUAAAGGUUCAUUGACUCAUUGAACUCACUGACCCAUUGACAUGUCUGGCGGUUGAUGCUGGCUAUUCGCUGACUCUUUAGCCAGGGUCAUCUGCUGGAACCUCUUCAUGUGGCCUCUCUAUGUGGCCUGGGCUUCCUCCCAACAUGGUGGCUGGAUUCUAAGAGCUGGUAAGCAGAGGGAAAAGGGGAAGAGAAAGGAGGAGGAAGAGAAGGAAGAAGAGAAAGAAAAGGGAGAGAAGAGUGAACCAGGUGGAAACUAUAUCUUUUUUAUGACUAGCCUCCAAAACCCAUAGCAUUAUUUCUGCCAGGCUCUAUUGGUCAGAGCAGCCACAAGCCCAACCAGGUUCAAGGGGAGAGGAAAUCAUUACAUCCUUGAUAGGAAGCAGUAAACUUCCGUAAGAGCAUAUGAGACCAUACAUAUGACCAUACAUAUGGCUGUGGUCAUUUUUGGACAAUACAAGCUGCCUCAGGAGAGGUUAGUGAAGUAGGAGAAAAAUCAGGAGAAAGAAAGCUAGGAGAAGACCUUGUUUCAAGGAGGAGGGAAUGAUGAGCCAAGUGGAAGGAUGCUGGUGUGGAAGUGCACCCAGGGUGCUCAGUGCGGAGUGCAGGGCUGAGAGCAGGAGGCUGGGAGAGGGCGGCUGUGGAUGGGGUGCAUAUGUGUGCUAGACUUGACAAGAGAAAGAGAAGUCUCGUGAUGGAGGAAUUCAGUGGUAAGAGUGAAGAGCAUGUAAGGCAGUGGGUCGGGAGAGCCAAGCCUGGCAUGGUAAAUGGGUAAACCUUGCAUGGGCAGGUGACCGGGAAGGAGAAGGAGUGAGGAAGAAGAGAAAAUGCGAGUGCAGAUCUUAUUGAGGAGCUAGUUUAAUCUCUUUUAAAUACAUUUUGUGGAGACUUAAGAUAAUUUUUGUGAUUUGCAAGAAUGAAUAAAAUUAACAUUUUACGGCACUGAGAAAAAGGUGCUCUGCAUGUUCCAUAAAUUUUCCAUUUAAAAAAAAAAAGUUCCCAAGCCUAUCAAGUAAUGCUACGCAGCAUGUUUUCCUUUCCACAGUCCUUGAGAAGUAAUUUUCAGUGCUUCUGUGUUGAUCAUUUUUUGCUGAGUGAGUAACUGACCCACACAUGCAGCUGCAGCCUUUGUAUUCAAGGUUUCUUCUGAGGAAUACAGUCUAAAGAAGGGAGCCAAGAUCUGUGAACCCUGCCUGAUGUGCGGAGUGGGGACCAGGUGCCAGCGCCCCAUGGCUGGGCUGUGGGAUGGGGAUGUGGUCCCUCAGGUCACCAUGGCAACCAGCCUGCAAACCCCAAUGCACUCGUGGUGAUCAGCAUGCUUCAGGGAAGCUGAACUGUGCCAGCCUAGAGUCUAACAAACUGUUUCCCUUCUAGGAUACCCUCUAUGCCUGAUAAAAUGCAGCACCUACUAUUUCUAACCCACAUGUGGGUUUUCAGGGUAAGUAGAAACGCUACCAGGAAAUGUCUUGAUGGGCUCUCUCUCCUCCCUGAGCGCCAGCCUAUUGGAAAAUAUUUCUAAUCUAUCAAACAUGGUUUUGAAGUAAAAAAAAAAAGAGAAUCUGCUAGUUAAUUUUUUUUUUUCAGUGACUUCACCCGAUGAGAAAGUGGAAAACAGGUUGCACUGUGUACAUGCAGACCAGGUCACAGAAGAUAAAGGGCCUUAUCUGACAUGACAGACAAUUCAGGAGACUUUAUCGCUCCAGUCUCCUGAUGCCACCUCACUUGAUCCAUUGCAACAAGGAAAUUUUAAUGGAGAACCUCCCCUGGGUCUUGAUUUAUGCUCUGAACCACAGGAGGGCUAGGAAGAAAGCAAUUAUUCACUUGUCAAACCUUUAUAGGCUAGGCCCUGUGCAGGGGACUGGGGAUACAGAGGUGCUUAGCCAUGGCCUCUGGCCUUGAGCACUUACUGUGUGGAGGAUGCAGGCAGAAGCAGGCAGGGGAGCCAGGAGUCAGGGCUCGGUGGGGUAUACCAACCAAACUCUGUCCUGGCUUUGGAGGAAAAAGAGGAAAAAUGGAAGCAAUUUAAAUAAACUAGUAGGUGAUUGUAUUAGUCCAUUUUUGUACUGCUAUGAAGAAAUACCCAAUACGGGGUAAUUUAUAAAGAAAAAGAGGUUUAAUGGACUCACAGUUCCACAUGGCUGGGGAGGCCUCACAAUCAUCGCAGAAGGCAAAGGAGGAGCAAAGUCAUGUCUUACGUAGCAGCAGGCAAGAGAGCGUGUGCAGGGGAGCUGCCCUUUAUAAAACCGUCAGGUCUCAUGAGACUUAUUCACUGUCAUGAGAACAGCAUGGGGAAAACCUGCCUCCAUGAUUCAGUUACUUUCCACUGGGUCCUCCCAUGACACGUGGGGAUUAUGAGAGCUACAAUUCAAGAUGAGAUUUGGAUGGGGACAAAGCCAAACCAUAUCAAUGAUUAAGACCCAGACAGGGUGAGACAGAUGACAAGAACAAGUGGAGUCUGGGAAUGGAAGGAUCCCCAUGGGUUGAAUUAAUUUGGGAUGACUCUGUGCCAGAGAAGCAAUUUGAGCUGGACCUUCUGACAGAGAAGAAUUUGAAUGGGGAUCACCUCCCUUAGCAAAAGUAACAUCACAGCCAUCACCAUGUUAAACAGAACCCUCACCUUCCUUCCAUAUUUAGAAUCCUAGUAAUAACAGCAGUUUCUUUGAUGUUUCAAGAACUUAUACCUUCACAUACAUAUUACCUAUGUUUUCAUUCAGCUUUGUCAAAUAAGUGCUAAAACCUUCUUAGUAUAUGUUUUUCUGUCUUCCCCAUUCUAAUGAAGAAAUUCCAGGAGUAAAUUUGUCUUUUCUUUUAGUCUUAUUGAGAUAUUUACUCAAGGAGCAACAUAACCAUUUACUCAUAUUUUUCUCAACACCAUCGUGGCCCAGUAGGAGUGAAGGAUCUUGGGAGGAGCCCCAAGUCCUCCAGGUCACAGAGUACUAUGGAAAAGGCUCCCUUGGGCUCUGCUAGAGUGCCUUCGCCUGCAAAAGUGAUGCUAGAGUUCCUGAAGACUAACUCCAAACCAUAGGGGCCAUCAUCACAAGAAUGGCAUUCCCAAGUUUCCACAUUUUCUUUUUUCUGGGACAGAGUCUCUGCCACCUGGGCUGGAGUGCAAUGGCACGAUCUCGGCUCACUGCAACCUCUGCCUCCCGGGUUCAAGUGAUUCUCCUGCCUCAGCCUUCCGAUUAGCUUGGAUUACAGGCAUGCACCACCACGCCCAGCUAAUUUUUAUAUUUUUAGUAGAGACGGGGUUUCACCAUGUUGAGCAGGCUGGUCUCAAACCUCUGACCUCAAGUGACCCGCCCACCUUGGCCUCCCAAAGUGCUGGGAUUACAGGCAUGAGCCACUGCACCUGGCCCCACAUUUUCAUUAUUAAACAUUUCAAAAGUGCAAGAGAAUAAAAAGACAAACCACAAACUUGGAAUAAACAUACAAAACAAAACAUACAUCUGAUAAAAGGACUGGUAUUCAAAACAUACAGAGACUCUUAAAACUCAACAGUAAGAAAACAAAAAACUUGAUUAAAAACGAGCCAAAGACCUCACCAGAAACCUCACCAAAGGAUAUAUACGGCUGGCAAAUAAGCAUAUGAAAAGAUGCUCCACA